GUUCGACUGAGGUUUAUUAAUUUAUCAAUUGUUCAACAAUUAUUUGUAUACGUGCUUUUCUUUUCUGGUUUAUUAUUUUCAUUUAAAUUUCAUUAAUAGUACGACCGACUUUGGAGGUAUAUAUCUGUAGCAGUCAGUUCUGCUAUAGAGCUUGAUGGUCAUUUUUCUUGUGACAGAUUGGUUGAUUAUAUUAACCCCCCACCUCGAAUAGCU